GAUGAACGCUGGCGGCGUGCCUAAUACAUGCAAGUCGAGCGAACAGAUCAGGAGCUUGCUCCUUUGACGUUAGCCGCGGACGGGUGAGUCACACGUGUGUAACCUACCUAUAAGACUGGAAUAACUACGGGAAACCGGGGCUAAUGCCAGAUAACCUUUAGAACCGCAUGGUUCUAAAGUGAAAGAUGGUUUUACUAUCACUUAUAGAUGGACCCGCGCCGUAUUAGCUAGUUGGUAAGGUAACGGCUUACCAAGGCAACGAUAGGUAGCCGACCGGAGCGGGUGGUCGGCCACACUGGGACUGAGACACGGUCCAGGGUCCUACGGGAGGCAGCAGUAGGGAAUGUUCGGCAAUGGGGGAAAGUCUGACGGAGCAAGGCGGCGUGAGUGAUGAAGGUCUUCGGAUCGGAAAACCCUGUUAUUAGGGAAGAACAAAUGUGGAAGUAACUGUGGACGUCGUGACGGUACCUAAUCAGGAAGCAACGGCUAACUACGUG
rnacentral:rRNA from 1 species